GACGAACGCUGGCGGCGUGCUUAACACAUGCAAGUCGAACGGAAAGGCCUCUUUCUUGGGGUACUCGCGUGGCGAACGGGUGAGUAACACGUGAGUAACCUGCCCUUGACUUUGGGAUAACUUCCGGAAACUGGGGCUAAUACCGGAUAGGAGCUCCUGCUGCCUGGUGGGGGUUGGAAAGUUUCGGCGGUUGGGUAUGGACUCGCGGCGUAUCAGCUUGUUGGUGGGGUAGUGGCUUACCAAGGCUUUGACGUGUAGCCGGACUGAGAGGGUGACCGGCCACAUUGGGACUGAGAUACGGCACAGACUCCGACGGGAGGCAGAAGUGGGGAAUAUUGCACAAGGGGUGGAAGCCGGAUGCAGCAACGCCGCGUGCGGGAUGACGGUCUUAGGGUUGAAAACCGAUUUCGCUCAUGACGAAGCUUUGUGUGACGGUAGUGGGUAAAGAAGCACCGGCUAACUACGUG
rnacentral:rRNA from 1 species